rnacentral:rRNA from 1 species
CCUACGGGAGGCAGCAGUGGGGAAUAUUGGGCAAUGGGCGCAAGCCUUACCCAGCAACACCGCGUGAGUGAAGAAGGCUUUCGGAUUGUAAACUUCUUUGAUCAGGGACGAAUAGAUGACGGUACCUGACGAAUAAGCCCCGGCUAACUACGUGCCAGCAGCCGCGGUAAUACGUAGGUGGCAAGCGUUGUCCGGAGUGACUGGGCGUAAAGGGCGGGUAGCCGGGUUGACAAGUAAGAGGUGAAAUCCUCGGGCUUAACCGCAGAGCUGCCUUUGAAACUGUUGAUCUUGAGUACUGGAGAGGUAGAUGGAAUUCCUAGUGUAGCGGUGAAAUGCGUAGAUAUUAGGAGGAACACCAGUGGCGAAGGCGAUUUGCUGGACCGUAACUGACGGUGAGGCGCGAAAGUGUGGGGAGCAGACAGGAUUAGAUACCCGAGUAGUC